CACGUAGGGGGCAAGCGUUGUCCGGAUUUAUUGGGCGUAAAGAGCUCGUAGGCGGCUCAGUAAGUCAGGUGUGAAACCUCCAGGCUCAACCUGGAGACGCCACCUGAUACUGCUGUGGCUAGAGUCCGGUAGGGGAGCGUGGAAUUCCUGGUGUAGCGGUGAAAUGCGCAGAUAUCAGGAGGAACACCGGUGGCGAAGGCGGUUCUCUGGGCCUGAUCUGACGCUGGAGGAGCGAAAGCGUGGGGAGGCGAACAGG
rnacentral:rRNA from 1 species